GACGAACGCUGGCGGCGUGCCUAAUACAUGCAAGUCGAACGCAGUGGGGAUGGGUGAGUAACACGUGGGUAACCUCCGAUAAGAGGGGCUAACACUUGGAAACAGGUGCUAAACCGAUACUGAUGGAUGGACCCGGGGUGCAUUAGCUCGUUGGUGAGGUAACGGCUAACCAAGGCCACGAUGAAUAGCUGAGCGGAGAUGAUGAUCAGCCACACUGGGACUGAGACACGGCCCAGACUCCUACGGGAGGCAGCAGUAGGGAAUUUUCGGCAAUGGACGAAAGUCUGACCCAGCAACGCCGCGUGAGUGAAGAAGGUUUUCGGAUUGUAAAACUCUGUUGUUAGAGAAGCGGUAUCUAACCAGAAAGCCACGGCUAACUACGUGCCAGCAGCCGCGGUAAUUC
rnacentral:rRNA from 1 species